GCCAUCUCACCCCACCCUACCCUUGGCCUGCUGUUCUCUGAGCCAGUCUGUGCCAAUGACCUGACUGUUGAGAGGAGAUAGCGGGAGACUGAGAAGGAAUGAAGGACUCUCAGAAAUCCCUUGAGUUUCACAUACUUCUGGAACUUCAUUUUGAUCAUCUAGAGAGAGGCUCCACCCUCUUUGUACCCAUCAAAAGGACCAUGCCUGCCACGCCCUGGUCUGGACUCUUGCAGCCACAGAGGCUUCCUCAGAUUCCCAGCCUCGGCUCCUCAGGCGCAGCCCUGGGGAGGAGGCCGGCUCCACGCUCCACCCCCUGGAACGUAGAUAAGAGGCCUUCUCCUUACCUCAGCUCCCCAGAAGGCAACCGGAAGAUGCCAGUUCACUUCCGCUCCCAAGAAGACCCCGCAGCCCCAUGUGCUCCUCCUCAGAGCGGCCGGCACUGGGCAUGCAGAGCCCGCCUUCAGUGCUGGGCUGAGGCUCUCUCCCCGCCUGGAGAACCGCAGGUCGCAAGACCCAGGGGGGCCGCCUGGGUGGCUCAGGGGUUGAGCAUCUGCAUUUGGCUCAGGGCGUGGCCCUGGGGUGGGGUGGGGGGGCUCCCUGCAGGGAGCCUGCUUCUGUCUCUGCCUCUCUCUGUGUCUCGAAUGAAUGAUAGAAUGAAUGAAUGAAUAAAUAAAUAAAAUAGAAGACAGAGGGGCA
rnacentral:lncRNA from 12 species